rnacentral:misc_RNA from 1 species
UUGUGGAGGAGGACGCCGAAGGUGGGGCUAAUGACUGGGGUGAAGUCGUAACAAGGUAGCCGUACCGGAAGGUGCGGCUGGAUCACCUCCUAACAGGGAGACAACAAAAUGUUUAAUAUUAUUAUUUUGUCACCUUAGGUCGAUCGGUAUCUCACGUUUUUAAUUUAUUAAGAAUUUCAUUUCCUAAGUUUUUCUAGGUCACACCCAUUAUUUUCCCUGGGCCAUUAGCUCAGGUGGUUAGAGCGCACCCCUGAUAAGGGUGAGGUCCCUGGUUCAAGUCCAGGAUGGCCCAUAUCUCUAUGUUGGGGGUAUAGCUCAGUUGGUAGAGCGCCGCUUUGCAAGCAGGAUGUCAGCGGUUCGAGUCCGCUUACCUCCACUGAUCACCACCUCUUCCAUAAUCGGUAGAAAGGAAAUUUUUUGAGUUGUGAUCAAAUUCUGAAAGAAUCUAGCUUCCUAAUGAAAUCAUUAAGAUGCUGGACUCAUUGAAUUAAUUUCAUUGUUUUCAGAGAACCUUGACAACUGCAUAGAUUAUUUUUAAAGACAAUAAGCAUCUUUAAUGAUGCAGAUUUAUUAUUUUUGCAAAUGCAUUAAUAACAAUUCUAUUAAGCUGAUGCUUCAUAUUUGAAGUUAUUGGUCAAGCUACAA